rnacentral:rRNA from 1 species
AUUGAACGCUGGCGGCAGGCCUAACACAUGCAAGUCGAACGGCAGCGGGGGAUAGCUUGCUAUCCUGCCGGCGAGUGGCGGACGGGUGAGUAAUGCAUGGGGAGCUGCCCAGUCGAGGGGGAUAACAACUGGAAACGGUUGCUAAUACCGCAUACGCCCUAAGGGGGAAAGGUGGGGAACUUCGGUCCUACCGCGAUUGGAUGCGCCCAUGUGGGAUUAGCUAGUUGGUGAGGUAACGGGUCACCAAGGCGACGAUCUCUAGCUGGUCUGAUGGGAUGACCAGCCACACUGGAACUGAGACACGUUCCAGACUCCUACGGGAGGCAGCAGUGGGGAAUAUUGCACAAUGGGGGAAACCCUGAUGCAGCCAUGCCGCGUGUGUGAAGAAGGCCUUCGGGUUGUAAAGCACUUUCAGUCAGGAGGAAGGGGUGAUGGCUAAUAUCCAUCAUCAUUGACGUUACUGACAGAAGAAGCACCGGCUAACUCCGUGCCAGCCGCCGCAGUAA